CAGGACUGCCAUCAGUUUGACAGCAGGACAGUGGCCGUGAGGGUGCCAGGCCACAGAGCAGACAAGGAAUGGCUUUUCGAUGGCAGGAGGGCGUGGAGAAGGCCCCCCUGGGCUGAGCUCGAGCCACUGCGAAGGAGAGUGCUGCUCGGGCCACCUCUGAAGCCUAGUGAUGUGCACCCAGAACAUGUGGUGAGAGCUGGAGUGCUCCCUGAGCUGUGGACGCCCCGCGAGGAGCACACGGUGCCCACAGUCUGGCGCAGAGGACCACGGCCCUGAGCACGAGGCACACCAUGCACACCGUAGCCUACAAAUGGCGUCUCGAACACGGUUCUAUCCACAAGAGCCACUUGGCUUGUUUAAUAUAGAUACUGGCAACUCUGUGAGAAAGACAAGCCGUUAGUUGAAAAUAAACUGAAGCUCACGUCCCCAAGCUUUCACCUGUGGGAAGAUGGCGCUCACUGUGCCCGGCGCCGUGGGCCUGGGCGACUGCAAGC